rnacentral:rRNA from 1 species
UAGUCCAUGCCGUAAACGUUGGGCACUAGGUGUGGGUCUCAACCAACGAGAUCCGCGCCGUCGCUAACGCAUUAAGUGCCCCGCCUGGGGAGUACGCUCGCAAGGGUAAAACUCAAAGGAAUUGACGGGGGAUCACACAAGCAGUGGAGCAUGUUGUUUAAUUCGAAGCAACGCGAAGAACCUUACCAGGCCUUGACAUGCAUGGAUUAGCUUCCUGAAAGGGAAGUGACGCCUCUUCGGAGGUGGAACAUGUGCAGGUGUUGCAUGGCUGUCGUCAGCUCGUGCCGUGAGGUGUUGGGUUAAGUCCCGUAACGAGCGAAACCUUUAUUGUUAGUUGCCAGCGGGUAAUGCCGGGGACUCUAGCGAGACUGCCGUUGUCAAACGGGGGAAGUGGGGACGACGUCAAGUCAUCAUGGCCCUUAUGGCCUGGGCUACAAACGUGCUACAAUGGUCCGUACAAAGGGUUCCGAAGCCGCGAGGUGUAGGCAAUCCCAUCAAAGCGGCCCAGUUCGGAUUGCAGG